GUUUUGCGUACUUUACGUUAGUUAGUUAGUUUUAUACCUACAUAUUUACUUAAUUAAAGUAAUUUUUUUCAGCCCAACAAUAUUUUUUCCUUAAUUUAUAGAGCGGUUAUUUUUUUGCCAGGAAAAAUCUUAGCGUUUUACUUAAAGGACUCGUUAAAAUGCAUAAUAAUCAAAUGCAGAAAUGGCGUGAACUUUUGUCCUAAUUAUACACCUGACUGAGAUUGGGUUGUCGAUAGUUAAACCAAAUUUGCUUAAUCUAAAUGGAAUACACAUAUUCAGCAACUGGUUAUCAACCCAUGGUAAUUUCUCAUGAGCUCACUACACAAGAUCCACCUUUUUUUGGUUUUGCAAGUGACUUUACCUGCUAACAAUAACAUGCUUUUUGUUUAAACAGUGCCAUAUCUAUGCCCACAGCAUCAACUCCCCUUUAACCCUUCGUCAUUUUAAAAAACAACUAUUUGCUCUCCCAUGGAGGCAAAAAUAAACAAUAACCAUAGAUAAAUGUAUGACAGUAGUAUGCAAUAAUCAAAUGUCCUUUUAAUGGCAGACACUGUUGAAUAGAUUUAAAAGUCCUAUCAGUGUUUGAUGUGUUACUUUUGUAAUGUUUUUGAUCACUUAAUUAGUCCCAUGAGGGCAUACAUGUACACAACAAUAUCACUGCUGUGAUCACCAAGAGAGAAACAUCUGGCAACAGAAACUGAGAACCUUCUCCUGCUGGCACUGCAGAUCAUGAUUGUUUUGAACAAAACUGUUGCCUUUUGAAAUCACAUCCAGGAGCUGCCAGUUGCUGAUCACAGGACACAGAUUUGGUUUGGUAACCCAGAUACAAAUGCUUUACCUGAGGCCUAACAAGAUGGCUUGUAUUAUGUAUUUGUGGCAUGUAAUGUGUUUAAAUGGCAUCUUAGGGACACAGCACUUAUGGAAAGUCCAAUAGGAGGACUGACAAAUCCUCCGCGGACCACAGAAAACUGAAGUAGAGGACUCUCAUUGGUGAUGGACUGUGUGUGCUUGCUGGGUAUAUGGGAGUUAUGUUCUAUGUUACGUUGCUUAAACGAUCAUGAUAUGUGUCUCUGACCAUUGUCUAGUAAGCUUUGAAUUUGUACUUCCGGAAUCUGCAGUUUGCAGUGGAUGCUUAUUGGAUACCGCUGUAGCUUCAUUUAAAGAAGUCAUUCCUUCAGCUUUAAGUUCAGUUUCCGGUCUCAAUAUAUCAGAGGACUCCUGUGUAAACUUCAGUCCGUCCCAGAUCGAUCAUCUUGUCGAUACUGCUACAGGCUCUUUAAGAGUGGCGCUGGACGCUAUUGCUCCUCUGGAAAGAAGAAUGGUAACAAGAAGGAAGUUUCCUCCUUGGUAUAACCCUCAAAAACGCAACUUAAAGCAAAACCUAAAAGUUGUGCGGAAACGGUUAUGGCGUUCCACCAAACUAGAAGAAUCUAAGCUAGUUUGGCAAGACAGCCUUAAAACAUUAGAAGGCUCUCCAUAAUGCAAGAGGAGCUUAUUUGUCAAUAUUAGCCAGACUGACAGAGAGCCACAGGUCUGUCUAGCCGUGUAUUCCUUUGGACCUCAGUAGUAACGACUUCAUGAUAUGAUUCUGACUACCAAAGAGAAAAUUGAUGGUCUCCUACCUCUUCUACCUCAACCAGUGCCGACCAGUCCUCGAUUGUAGGAACCUUGGAUGCAGCUGUCAGGUUUCAAAAACAAAAUCAAAAAUCCAAGAGGCAAAAACACAUACGGGGACCAGAAACUCACAAGGUAGAACAUCCAACUUUCAACAAUGACGCAACAAGUGACAGACACAUAUGGCUUAAAUACACUAGGGAGGUGCAGGUGAUUGGACACAGGUGGAAACAAUCAGACAAUCACAGACGAUGACAGGACAAGGCAGGAAGUGAAGUUACCCAGGGAGACAAGAAGCAGAAAACUACAAAAUAAGACAGGAAAUAAAACCACACCGUGACAGAAUUCAUCAGAAACAAUAGUUUGACCACCGGUUCUGUCUUCUCGAAUAUGAAUAUUUUCUGCUUUUUUGUUUGUACUUUACAAUACCAACUGAAAUAUCUUUGGAUUUUGUUUAAAUUUCUCGGACACAUCAAAUAUUUGCGAACAUCCUCAUUUGAUGCGUAAUAAUCAGCUAAUUAGUUGAUGAUUCAAAAAAUGUCAUUCAACUAAUUUAGGUAUAGCAAUGUGAAGACAAUAUCUACAUUAAGUAAUGUUUUCUAACUGAAUACGGAGCCCUCUUCCAAAUCAGGAAUAUUAUAGAUACAGUUAGAACUUCUUCUUGAGGAAAGUAAUAAUGCUAGCACAUUGGAUGGUAGGUAGACAAUAUCUAUAUCCAAUCAUCUCAGCAACUUUCCUAUUCAUAAAUGAUUACCUGUGUGUAUCCUUGGUGGAGGGGUGAAGCAUGCACUGUAAAAUAAGAUCCUAAUUUUACGGAAAAUAAUUUUUACAGUAGUUUUCCUGUGUUUUUGAAUUAUGUACAUUACUCUGUAAACAGUCAAACUGUAGACUUAAGUAUUAUGCUAAUAAAGACAAAUCAUUUUUUUCCCUCAUUUUUUUACGGAAGAAAUACAGUAAUUAUUCUAUUUUACAUUUUUCUUGAAUUACAUUCAAAUCAUGUAAAAUAACAGUCAAAUGACAUAUAUUUGUAUGUGUAUAUGUAUGUAAAUAUGUAUGUAUAUAUGUAUGUGUAUAUAUAUAAUAUAUAUAUAUAUAUAUAUAUAUAUAUAUAUAUAUAAUGUAGCGUUCAGUGAACCGGUAUAUGUAUGUAUGUAUAUAUAUUUUACAGUGUGGGCAAAUUAAGAAUUCUGGACUGUAUCCAAAUCACAAGGCGGUUCCACAAAUUACUUUUCUGUCCCUCACUAGCAUUACAAAUAUGUUGUGGACCCCUGAGCUCUUUGCGUGCCCUUCCGGUUUGAUUGUGUAUAUAUAUUCCUCUUUGUAUUUGUCCUACUGUCCAUCGUUUCAUUGUCGUACUGUCCGUUAUUAUUUAUCCAGCGCCAUGUCAAAUUCCUUGUAUGUCUAUCAUGUUUUUGCAAUAAAUGUUCCUGGUUCCUGAUUCCUGAUAAUUAUGUUGUAUGACCACAUCAUUAUAUUGACCCUUGGAUUUUUAACCUGAAGUGGUCGGCAAUGUUAAUAAUGUCAAAUUUGAAGCUAAAUCUUGACAAAAGAGUCAGACAAGUGCAUGCAAUGCGACCUGUAAUCGAAUUAAGGACCAUUUUUUUCUCCAGAAAUUGGUAAAAGCGAGAACGCAAACGUGAGCACAAAAAGCUAACCCUGAUAUCCAUGAGCACAGAAGUAAGUGGUGGCUGGGAAGCCAUGGCAUUUGAAUGACACAUUAAUGGCCACGGCUCGUUUGUGGCAUGCCAAGAGUCCAGAAGACAGAACCAGUCUGGAACGGAGCGGGCCAAGAGCUUAGUGGGGAGUCCACAAACUGCUCAAAGCUGACAUUUGUGCCUCCAGGAGGUACGCAAACAGGGAUAGACAUACAGUCCGAUCCAACUACCCAUCCCCCAGUGCACACUCCUCCCUCCCCACCCUUCAACCCACCCAGUUGUCUUCAUCUCUCCAUCAAUCUUAUUUAAUUGUUUUUCCAUCGGAGAUGUUGUACAUAGAUAACUCACAGCACAUUAUUCUGAGUACUCCGUUCUCUCUAGGCAGAAGUGGCAUUUUGAGAGCCGGCCCCAUCUUCAGCUGUCUGGGGGACGGUGGGAAAACUGCUGAUGUGCCAUAGAUCGUUUUUUUCUCCAAUAGCACUGGAGUUCAUUUUAAUAUGCUCAGGUUCUUGUUAAAUCACGCAGACUGAUUGUUUUUAUGUACUACCGCACUAACUUCCUUACGAAAAAUUAACAACAGUGUUUCAAUACGGGGAGGGUUGAAAUUUCUGCUUGGAUGUUAAAAAUAACACCUAUGAAAUGUGAUGUCCUGUGAAAAAAACAUUUCAUGUAUAUUGAUGAUGGAAACAUUUAUUAAAACACUUUACCAAUAUCUCCAAGUACGGGAAACAGGAUUGAUGAAAGGGAUUAUGUCUUACUUUGGAGCCUCCAUGUUUCUGUCAUUCAGACCAAAUUCAUAGAAGAUAUAUAAUGAACAAGCAAAAGAAGCUUCAUUACAAUGUCUGCUUCUGCUUGUUGCUGAUUCAGAGUUUGGAUUAAAUCCUAUAUCUUAAUUUAAACAUUUGAUUUGUAAGUGCACAUCUGCUCAGCGGUUUUAGCUGUGGCAUUUUGUUGCUGACAUGGGAAAAUAAAUGGCACUAGUCCACAAAAAUAUGAAAACUUCUGAAAUGCACAUGAUUUAAGAGGCAUUCCUUAUUUAACCUGAUGCUAUCGGGAAAAAAACACUAUAACCGCAAGUACUAACUUAAAAAGACAUUAACCAUGUUUAUAUUCAAAAGUUUGUUUUAAGAAACAAGCUUAUUUUAAGAAACACUAAUGCUAAAAAAUUUGGUAGUGGUUUGGUAGUUAGUCCACAAAACUAAUUUACAAAAAAAGGAACUUAAACAUAGUUUAAUCAGAAGAUGGCCAAUAAAUUGUAUGGAACUUUGUCCACGGGAGGAACUUCUGUUGAAAAGGAGUAAUAACAAAAAAGUUCCAUAAGAAUAUGGGAAUGGAAACACAGGUAGUGGGCUGUCCAAGUUAACGCGUUAUUUGAUGAGAUUAUUGUGGCUGAGCUUAACGAUAAAAUAUUUUAACGCAGUUAGUUCUGGUGUGCGUUGAUGCCUGACCCCUGAAUUUACUUAGCGUAAAUUUAACGUGUUCUGUGAAGCACAGAAAAUAGUCGGGUCCAGCGACGUAAGAUUGGCGAUGGAGGUGGCCUUACCAGGGAUUACCCCGGUUUCUCCAACAGCCUGCAAAUACUCAACAGUCAACACAUUUAUCAGUGAUAUGACAGUAAAUUGCCUUCAGAAAGAGCAGCUAUGAUAUUACUGCAAUCAGGUGUGCUAUAUGAACAACAUUUAGAACAUGACGAAACUAGAAAUGCCAGAGGCUCCUAGGGGGAAAUCAUUCCUGACAAUGUUGUCUGCAUAGUCUGAUAUCAGAGAAAUGACCACGAUCUCUUAUGGUGGGCUGGCACAGAAUGUGUUAAAUACGUCAUGCCAGCCUCAAGGAAGGAAAGCCAGGAAAGUCAAUGACAAUAUUAUUUUUGUGGGUGGACACACAAACUAACAGCAAUCACUUAGAUGGUAGAUGGAUGGGUGUAACACGGGACCAUCAACUAGGUGAUCAGUAUUUAUGCUCUGCGUUGAGCCGAAAGUCAACGCUGACUUUCUUUAAAAUAAAGUUGAAUAGUUUCAUCUUUAUGAAACAGAAUGUUAAACCAUUAAUCUUUUCACUUAUUACAGUUGUGUUUGUCAAGAGGCCUCUACGGAUAAAAAAAUACAUUUUAAAUGAAGUCAUACUUUCACUCAUUUUAAAACUCGUGGUCUCAUAUGGUGGUCGUUUGUCACACACGUAAAGGCCUAAUUGUCAUAAUUCUGUCCCAUUAAUCUCAAACUUAGUGAGACAAACCCUAUACAGCAACAGAGCCGGAAUGAACUCCUUAUUCCACAUCAGCUGCACCCUUUUUCCUAUUAUUUGUAGUCUUGUGCGCUCAUUGUAUUGUGCACUUCCACUUCCUUACUUAUUACUUACUGAAUGAAUAUAGUCUAAAUGUGUACUCGGUAACGGUUCAACAGAGUGAUCAAAAAAACUUUUCUGCCUGGUGCCAACCAGCACUGAUGGCUUUCAGAAGGAUGCCUUCCAAAAAAAUGUUGCAUCUACUUUAAUAAGGACUCUUUGUUUUAUGUUGUUGCUCGCCAUAUGUCAUUGACUUUAAUACCUUUAAAAAUACAAUUGAUAUUUUAAAUUAGUAUUACACUGCUGCAUAUUCAUCAUGCACGCCUUUUGUUUUACCGGUGCCUCCACAUCAAGAGGGAAAGAGAGAAAAGAUGAAAACACCUCUGCCAGCUUUUUUUCUUUCAUUUGGAGUAAGCUGUUGGUGAGUUCUGUUAAUUUCACUCAGAACACUCUGUUGAUGGCUUACUGUGCACAUAAGAAACGUGCAGCGGUAGAAAUAAUUGUUCUUUUCAUGGUAAGAAAGGCCAUAUCAAUUAAGAGUAAAUCGUCUCCUUAGUUAUUACGUUACAGCCCAGUUGUACGCCGUCAAUUGUGUUGCGCCCCCGGCCCCCUUACUUUUUUUUCUUCACUGUCUCUGCACAAACUGUGUUUAAGCCCAGCGACAUUGUAACCAGCAUUUAACGUGAAAAAUACUCACAAUGUGUGCUUAUUUGUGAGUCCUCGUUAUAAUGCGCAUGGAAAAGGAUAUGACUUUAUUUCUUCUCUACUUUAAACAUUUCUUUGUGAAUGACAUGCUUUAAACCACAACGAUUGGUCUGUCUAUUGAGGGUUAACUCUGGCUCUGUUUUUUCAUUUUUUAUCCAAAGCUUAGGGGUAUUUACUGUGGGCCUAUUACUCCUCGUUGCCUGGGGACUCGAUCUUGAAAAGAAACAGUCAUAUAUAUGUAUAGAGAAUAGGAACUUAGAAACCAUGAGGGAAUACAAGCAUGUGUUUGAUAUAUCCACAAGUAGGUUCCUUCAUUGACACAAUAAGAUAAGAUAAGUAUUCUUACUCUACAUUCUUAAACAUUUGCUGUGGAAGCGUCUACGAUGGCAGAUUGUUUUUAUAUUAAUCUUUGCAUUUCACAUCAGCGAUGAAACUGUAAAUUCUGCCUUUUUAUGUCAUAAUGUGUGUGCAUCUGUGCCAUUCCUCUAUUACAUUGUUUGAUGUGCUGCAAUAUGUUUAAUGUAUGUGUCGACUGCAUGAGCCAACAGGCAUCAGCAACCAGGACUAAGCAAUCCACUGUAUAAUUUACUCUGCAUAGACCUAACAUUAAAGUUAAACAAGUAGAAAAGAUACAACUCAUAGGGCAAAUAAGCUCUCGCCUAAUUGUGAGAGCCGGAUCAUAUAUCAGUCAGAGGAGUGAUCUCAGGAGCGGGAUUAUGAUUAUUAUUACCUAUAUUAAUAGAUGAAGAGGAGUGAUAGUGUUUCAAUGCCUGUAAUGGCAUUUGACCCCACUUGUGUUUUCCUGUAAGGAGCGAGAUCACGAUGAGUGGUUGGAUGGCCGAGAGUGGGAGGAGGAGGAUCCGAGAGGUAAUUAGAGGGCAGAUAAAGGGAGUGGUUCCACAAUGAGUAUGUAAUAUUCACAAACAUUUCUGCAACAAUGAGGAUUAGAUUUUUCUGAAUAGUUUCUGGGCUGUGGGGUGGAAGGAUUUUGUUGCUUCACCUAAGAUUACACUUUUUUACUAUCACAUCCUCAUUUGUGCAAAUGAAGGUUAAUGUUUAAAAUUUCUAAAUAAUAAUAUGGUGCUCCAGCGUUAUUUGUCUUAUAUAUGACAAGGGGCUAAUCUUAACUGGUGAUACAGUAUAGAAAAAGUUGUUUUGUUCUUUCAGUUCUUUACUACAAUAUUAUUAUCAUUUUUAUUUUAAGGUUAUGUACAAAAACUAUUUAUUUCUAAAAUGAAACAAUAAUACUAUUUACAGAUACUAUCUGAUACACAACCCCUCCUGGCUUCUCUGACCUCGAGAAGCACAUCAUAUUAGUUAAUAAAAAAUGAGGACAAGUAUUAAUUAAACAUUAAACAUUUUAUGUCCAGGGAGAAAGGUCAAGGAUUAAAGCUGAACACGACCUGUAUUACGCCAUCUCUGUUCAGCUAUGCUGUGAGCAUGAGAUCGACCGUUGCCAAGUCUGGCCUCAUGCUUUCUGUCGUAACGCCAGCCGCCGCCUCCCCUGGUAGGCCCGGAGAUGAUGCAUCUUCUUUGAUACAUUCUUAAGCACACAUCAGACGCGGUCAAAUAGUAAUCCGCCGAUGCUCGCCGGCCAAACAACAUCUGCCUCAAGACGUGAACUAACAUUCCCUGUUUUUCUCUUUUGGCAGAGGAAACAUGCCCCUCACAACUUCUGAACAUCCACCCACGCGUCACCGCUUGUGCGGUUAUUUACCAAUUCAAAAGAAUUCAAAUACUCCGAAUAAAAUGUAGCAAACAAAGGAGCAACCACAAGCAUGAAAACACAUCAGAUUUAUUCUGCCUGCCUUGUUUACCGGUUCACGGAACGCUGCAUGCAAACAGAAUGCAAAUGCAUUUGAUUGAAUCAGGUGAUGCCGAGGUAAUUGUAUUUGGAGAAAUGUCCAAGAUUUUUUUUUCAUCAUUAUCAGUGGGGGGGUUUCUUUAUGAAAUCCAUCUUAAACAAAAGCUAUCAUCGCUCCCGAGCCUUGUGAUCUUCCUUUGUCACAUGCGGAUGUGGAUGCGUCUUUAAUUUCCUUUCAAUUAAAAGUAAAUAUACGCCUUUAUUUUUUUCCCCCCACUGAGAAAUCCAAACAAGAGGAGUCAACACGAGCAGACAGGUGAGGAAUAUUCAUUUAUAUCUGCCUGGUGUUUUCUUCUUUUUUUUCUUCUCCUCAUUGUUGAUGCUGAUGAUGUGAUUCAACAGGCAACACUGCGGCUGCAUGCCCACACCCACGAGUUUGUAUCCCCCUAAAAAUUAAUAAAUAAAAAUAAAUAAAUAAAACGUUCCCUGUCGGCUUGUCUUGUUCAGAGCUGGAUGGGAAAGACAAACAAACACCAAACAAGUGCAGCACAACACUAACUUAACUUCAUCAUUAAAUGGCUGUUAAUCCAUGUCUCCAGUAGAUAGGCUCGCUUUGAUCAGAGCAAAAUUGUCAGCGAAACACAGCUUUUUUUGUGUUUUUUUUCUGGUCGUGUAGUUGGCUUGUCACUGUGGAUACUAAUGCAGUGACAGCGGUAUUGCUCAUUGACAGCCGCUGCUGUGAAUUUAUUUGAAUCCAUGUUACCUUCCAUCAGCCCAGUGUGUCGGAUGAUUUAUAGCCGAUAACCGGCAGGUGUUGUGUAUAAACUGGCUUUGUAGAAGUAGUAAAAGUACAAACCGCAACUAGCAGUGUUAUUACUAGUGCUGAGCUACAAAACCGUAAUAUAUUACUCUAAUAUUCAAUAUUUGUAUUUUUACGCCUCCAUGUCCGAUCACCCUAGAAAAUGAUGUAUCUUGUUUUCUGUUUUUACUGUUGUAUUUUCUAUUAACGUGACAAACUGACUAACAAAUCACACACGACUCAUUUCCAGCAGUUCUAAUAAACUCACUGUACUCUGUCUGCUGUGUAUUACUGAGCAUAAAGACGCAGUUAGCUGGUUAAGAUAGUGGAGCGUUUAGCAGACAGAUAUUUCCCUCCAAAAGACCAAAACAGAGCUAAAAACAGAAUUAAUGUUGAAUUUGGAUUAAUCAGUUAAUCAUAAAUGCAACUUGCAAUGUCAGAGCUUUGCUGGCAAAAAAUGAGUCUUGUUUGAAGACAUCUUGUUGAGGCUUUGCGGAGUAAUGGGUAAUGUGACUAAUUACUUAUUUGUGAACUAAUAUAAUGCAUUGGCACCUGAAGACAACUGUCUUGUUAACUUAAAAAGGUGCAGUGAAUAAGCUCUUCCUCAAAUCAGCUUGACUAAAGCCUAGUUUAUGCUUCUGCGUUUUCAGAGCUACGCAGACGCAAGAGCCCCUUGCGUGUCCCUUGCGUCGCUUUUCACACCUCCUUGUGUGAUUGCGUGCGUCGACCCAUUUUUCUAGGCUUGCAUCGAAAGCGUUGAAAGCGACGCAAGCUUCCCGCAGCGCACAAGGCUGCGAUUGGUCUGCUAACUACAUGCUUUACUUCUCACAUUUCCGUUUUCAUAGCCCGAUACCGCCAUUAUUAAAGCGAAGAAUGUUUACGAGAGAACGGAUCAGAUUUAAGAACUUAAUCGAAAGAAAUGCGUAAAUAUGACCGCUUAUACAAGCCGUCAUUGGCGGGUUGUAUAAGCGGGUUGGAUUCAUGGAGGGAGAUCGCCGCAAACGCCGGUUUGCCGGUCGAGAAGUGCCCAAAGUUGUGGAGGAAAAUACGGGACAAAUGUGUCCGCGAUGAAAAGCAGCAGUGGCGAUGCACGGGGCAAUAAAGUCUAUGAUAAAUAAAUAAACAAACCAACAACUUUCACACACAAAGAUGUUUUUUUCAUCAAAAACACGUUACUCCACCGAUUGUUCUGCCGGUGAAUUGCUCUGCAACACACGAAAGCCUUUUAGAACCAUGAAUUGAAACGAGUGCGUCGAAGCAACGACGCAAACGCCAGCCUUAACGUCAACUGUUAAUAAAUGGGUAAAAUAAAAUAAAACCCAUGCACACUCAUGAGAGACUUACUCAUUUAUAGGAGGCUACAUUCAAUUAGCUAGUAGUUAGUUAGCAUCAGUACAUUUCUCAGCUUGACAAAAUUCUGCAAAGGGGCCAUCCUAUUUGACCAGCAUAACAUUUUAGAAUAUCAGGCCAUUGCUUUCCAUCUUGCCUUGAAUGAGAAACUAUAAAACCAUUUUCUUUUUAAAAUGUAUAAGACGAGCCAUUAGGGCCUUAUCUUUCCUGUCCCAGAUGAAGCUAGCAAGUGACAGACAGACCAGGAGCUGAACACCCACACUUUCUAAUGCCACAGCCUGUAGCUUUACUGUUCUGUACUGUACCUUUUAAUCUAACUACAACCAAUGCAAUAUAUUUCCAGUCAAAACUACCAUCGUUCCUGCUGCCAUUGCUGUAUUUGGUGUUGCAAGCCUUUAUAAUUUACCUUAUAAUUUAGUCUUUAUAAAGUGCAACCACAAAUAAACUGUUGAAGAGUUGAAAACAACAACACUGUAUUCAAUUUUCUCAUUUUACAUCAGGAAGGACACAGUAUUACUUAAGGUAAACCAGAGUCAAGGACUUGAUUGAAUUUCCUUGAUGUCAUUACGAGGUCACGUUUCAGUGUGUAAUAUGAUAUAAAUUUAGUUACCCCCCGCCCCUCCGCUUGUCCUUGCCCUGAUCGUGGGACUCUUGUUUGUGCUUUUAAGCAAACUUCUUUCCCUGUGCCCGAUGUGACAUGAUGGAUGGUCCCAUCAUUUGCAAAUGUUUUAUUGCAUCUCUCAUUAGCCAAAGGUGGCGCAGGCAUACUGUAACAAUGUGUAUGUACGUGAACACAGAUGUAUAAAAACACACACACAUAUCAGCUCUUCUUCUCUAUGGUAUGCUGCCAUUUAUGCAGAUAAAAGCUCCAAGCUGUACCUUAAAUCAAUACAGUGUGCUAUAUCGGGUGUUAUCUCAGCUUGGGUUUGAAACCUACAAAUUUCAACCAGAAUGACUUAUAAACUGGUGGUGUGGCACACUCCGGUUGAAGAGUAUGAUCGAGAUGUAGCUGGGGGUGGGGUAGGGGUGGAGGGGGAUAUUAAAAGAGGAUAUUAAAUUGUAGUCUGGACGGUAAAGGCCCCAGGGUAUUUGGAACUUGACCCAUCCUAGGGAUUAAAGAUUGUAUAUCUCUGCUUUUCGGUCUUUUGAAAGCAACGUUAAAUUGUUUGAACACCUCUUUAAGAAUUCUUUUUCUUAUCUUUCAUUACUGCUUUUUGUUCAGGUACCCUCUGAUAGUCCAUAACCCCAUAAAACCACCCAUAUCAAGCAUUAAAUAACUGUCCUGUCCUGUGAGAUUGUUGCAUAUAGGUGUCACUUGAAGGGUGCAGGCCCAAAGAUAUUGUCUCACACACAAUUAUUACUGUGAGCUGUAUUCAUUAAUACAAUAUUCCUGAACAUGACAAACACCCCAAAGGUACACUUUGUUUUAUUACCAUUUGAGUCAUUAGGUUCAAUGAAAAUUAACAAGACAAUGUCCACAGUCGUGCUUAGUGAGACCGUUCUAAGGCUCAGCGGGGCUUUGAGCUUAAUUCCUAUGUCAGCGUGCUAAAAUGCUUCAUGCUGAUGUUAAGCAGGUAAUGUUAACCGCCAUCGCUAUCGUAGCUCGUUGAAAUGUACCAAUGUGGCAGUGAACAUAAAGAGGCUGCGGAAUAUGUCCUAACGAACAAACUAACCGAACAAAGUACAAUGGAAGCAUUGGUGAAACAGUUGUGGCAUGGAGGUGAACCUAGCUCAGCAAGAAAAGCAUCGAGAGUUGAUUGAGGAAGAGCGUCAACAGACGGCUCUCCUGCAAGCUAAACUCAGCCAGCCCAGGGAGGUGGACCUGCCGGCCUACCUGUCUCACCUCCCCAACCUAUUUUUUUUAUUUUAAAACUGACUGAAACAUAUGAUAUUGAGGCUUACCUCAAGCCGUUGAGAGGACAGCAACUCAACAGGCCCCAGGAGCAAUGGGCCAGCCUCCUAGCACCAUUUCUGUCAGAGUCAGCCCAGAAGACCUAUCACGACCUGACGACGGAACAGGCAAAGAAUUAUGUGUCAUUCGUGAACGAUUCGUUCAUUUUGAAUGAAUCCUUACAAGGAGUAGUGAGUCCUCUCAAAGAGAGAUUUGCAUUGGAACUAUUGCAUACAAUUUUUUUGUCUUUUAGUCGAGGUAGAGUCUGAAGAGGUGUGUCUUUAAUUUGCGGCGGAAGAUGUGAAGGCUCUCUGCGGUCCUGGUGUCAUCAGAGAGCCCACCAUUUCGAGCACAGCAAAGAGUCAUGAUCUCGUUGAGUGUUUUGCUCUCAGCGAGGGAGGGACAAGCAGUUUGGCAGAUGCAGAGCGGAGAGUGCGGGUCGGGAUGUAGGGUUUGACCAUGUCCUGGAUGUAAGCUGGACCCGAUCCAUUCUCAGCAUGGUACAUGAGCACCAAUGUUUUGAACUGGAUGCGGGCAGCCACCGGUAGCCAGUGAAGAGGGCGGCGGAGUGGAGUAGUGUGGGAGAAUUUCAGGAAAGUUAAAGACCAGUCGAGCUGCUGCAUUCUGGAUGAGCUGCAGAGGUCGAAUGGCGGUAGAAGGGAGACCUGCCAGGAGGGAGUUGCAGUAGUCCAGGCGGGAGAUGACAAGAGCCUGAAUCAGUACCUGGGCUGCCUUCUGAGUGAGAAGGGGACGUAUUCUCCUGAUAUUGUAGAGCGUGUAUCUACAGGAUCGUUUUGUCGCAGUGAUGUUGGGAGUCAGGGAGAGUUGGCUGUCGAGUGAGACGCCGAGGUUCCUAGCGGUCAAAGUGGGCGUUAGCACGGAGUUGACGUCAGGUCCUGGGUUGGAGAAUCUUUUCCCGGAAAGAGAAAAAAUUCAGUCUUGUCGGGGUUGAUUUUCAGAUGGUGGGCGGACAUCCACUGAGAGAUGUCAGUCAGACAGGCAGAGAUCCGUGCCGCCACCUGGGUGUCCGAGUGAGGGAAGGGUGUCAUCGGCAUAGCUGUGGUAGGAGAAGCCAUGCGAGCGAAUGACAGCGCUGAGAGAGUUGGUGUAGAGCGAGAAGAGGAGGGGACCCCAGACGGAACCCUUAGGAACUCCAGUAGUAAGAGGACAAGGUUCUGACACAGAUCCUCGCCAGGUUACCCGGUAGGUGCGGCCGUUGAGGUAGGACGAGAGAAGGGAGAGAGCAGAGCCUGAGACACCAAGUUCCUGAAGGGAGGAAAUAAGGAUCUGGUGGUUGACUGUGUCAAAUGCAGCAGAGAGGUCCAGAAGGAUGAGGACAGAGGAGAGACAGGCGGCUCUAGCAGUGUGGAGUUGCUCUGAGACAGCAAGGAGAGCAGUUUUGGACAAAAAGGGAAGAAGAGAGACCGGUCUGUAGUUGUUUUCUUCAGAAGGGUUGAGGGUAGGUUUCUUCGGGAGAGGGUUAAGUCUUGCCUCCUUUAGAGAAUUGGGAAAACAGCCAGAUAACAGAGCAUUGUUGAUGAGACAGGUCAGGACAAGGAGGAAGGUCAGGUGCGAUAGAUUGUAGAAGAUAUGAUGGAAUGGGAUCAAGUGGGCAGGUGGUCGGACGGGCAGAGGUUACUAGGGUAAGAAUUUGGUUAAGAAACAGGGCGGUGAAAGAGGAAAGUGAGGGCGAUAGAGGUGAAGUCAGUGGGACGCAAGAAGUAGGAGGUGGGUUUGAGAAAGAGGAGCGUAUGUCAUCUAUUUUCUUGGUAAAGUAUUUGACAAAGUCACCCGGAGGAAGGGUGGAGGGGGGAGGAGGGCUAGGGGUUGGAGGAGGUUUUCCAUGACGCCACCCUCUUUUCUCCGUCCAUGUCUGUCUUGCUCUCUUUUGGGCUGCUGUAGUCGCCCAAGGUGUGAAAUGGAGUAAUAGAUGGGUAUCAAUAUCUCCCUUGCCCCUGUUGUUUUGACCCUGUACCAAUUUUUGAAAAACAGAUUUUGCCGUCCUGGAUCUUUUUCAGGGAAGCUUCAUGCAAAAUGAAUAGGGGUGGCACGUUUUAUUGAAGUUUGAUUUACAAAGUGAGGGUGUAAAAAUGGAGGACAGAAACUGGAGGCAAAGGCAGGAGAGAAGAAGGAUGUCAUGAAUUAUUUUCCUCAUAUCCAGGCCCGCCAAUGUACGUUGUUUUUGUAAAUAAUGCAUCACCCCUGCGCAUAAUUAGGACAACAGCACUAUUCUUUCUCCUCACCCUCGCUUCCAGAUAACUACGUAGCGGUAUUUUGAUUCCUCCUUCUCUCUAAUGGACGUAGAGGCAACUUGAUUGAUCUUUGAAAGAAAAAAAGUACGUUGAAUGGCCUUUAAGCGCUGCUUCGGUUCUUCUUCUUUUUUACAUUCAUGUUCAGUUCCAAAUGAUAUAGGUUAUCACGUGAAUGCUCAUUAUCAUUUAGACACCAAAUAAGGGAACGUAAUGUGUCCUAGAACACAGGAGGCGCCCCAGUAAUGUUUAUUUGCCUGUGAUGUACAUGUACAUUGGCUUCUCAGAUUCAUUACAGCUCAAAAACGCCUCCAUUGCUGAUUCUAACGCAAUGUGACAAAAUGCAAAGCCUGUUAAAAGAAAAGGCGGAGGGGAAGAAAAGAGACUCGAAAAAAGAGGGGGUUAUUAUUUAAUAUAUUAGUGUGUGUGUGUGUGUGUGUGUGUGUGUGUGUGUGUGUAUCUUCGUCUUUCUUCGGCAGGAGAUAACACCUUUUGGAGGAACUGCCUUGAAGCAUUAUCCCCCAGACAGGAAACAUGGCUAAUCUUCGGCUUUGAGCCAUUACGCUACAUUUAUCUGUGACCCCCUCUCUCUUUAUAUCAUUACAGUUAAAGUCCAUAAAAGUGUGUUUAGACAAAGAUGAAGGCAUUACCUGCUCAGAAACCCCAAGUGCUAUUAGAGGCUUAGGCCCCUGCCUAUGUGCACUGGAUAUUAAAUAUCCUUUAUCUUAAACGCUCUCUCUCUCUCUCUCUCACUGCUCUCUGGGUAAGCUGAUAGCUCACUCGGCCCUGCCUUAUAUUGCCAUAGGCGUAAUAAAUACACAGAUAUCAAUGGGCCAAGUUUGUCCCGGUCUCAAACGAUUAUGUGAGGCAUGCCUCCCCGUAGCGGGAGUAGCAGGAGAGCUUUUAUUUAUUUCUGUGGGAUGGUAACGACAGAUAUAGUUACAAAGUCAGACAAAGUGGAGGAGCAGAGAUGGUUGUCUGCUGAACUGAGAGGACAGUCCAAACCACCCAGGGCACAAACACAUAAACACACAGGCACAAACAAGCCGGCAGCUGUCUCACUUUCGCACAUGCGAACAGAUUACGUGUCAUGAAAAUACUAUGCUAUUAUGGACUAAUAUUUCAAGAUAACCAAUACUUAAGAUAGGUAUGCCCAAUCAUCACGAUCAUCAUUAGACAGUGUCUCAGAGAGGGACCAAAAGGUACAGAGGACAAAGAGUCGACUUGAUUGUCUUAAGGACAUUUGUAACAUACACCAAAUCUUGGUCUUGUCAUCUUCUUUGAAAAGGGACACUCUCUGCAGAGCACAGGAACGUGAGAGCUGAGUCUUUACCCUGUGAAAUUAUUCUCAACCCUAGUUAUCAGAUUAAAAUUUUGUAUUGUUAUUUUAUCAUAUUGUUAUCUGCCGAUAUUCAACCGAUCAUCUAUGCCAUUUUUAAACAUGUUGUUCUUGUCUCUGAUUGCGUAUAAUGUUGUAAAAAACAAUCCUUUAAAUUGGCCAAAGGAGAACAAAUGUUCAACAGUGUGCAACAAAAUAGAGAUAAUAAAGAUGAUUAUUUACAAAACCUCUUAGGAGCUCAUAUCAUAAAAGACACUGAUGACAAUAUUAGUUUUUUUCAAUAAAAGUGCUCUUUUAUUUCCUUAUAUGAAUUGUGUGUUUUAUAAUAAAAAAAUACAGAAAUGCUGACAUAAACAAAGUGAAAGGAUAACGUUUCCAAAUGUAUUAUAUUAUAAUUUUCUUUUCUUGCCACGGUUGCCUCCUACUGGCUAAUUGGUUCUGAGUUCUUAGAGACCCUCACCUGGCCAAACGCUGCAUAAAAGUUGGCUUUGCUUUCCAACUCCUUGGUUGAAACGGGGGUUGCAGAUGAAACAUAAUGAGGCAUUCAAUGUAGGUAACUCUUUAAAGAACAAAUUCAAUUGUCGUACAAAGGAAAUUUAAUCAGAUAAAAUUGAGUGGUAUUGCGCCACAUAACGAAACCUAUCUUUAGAUCAUUAUGUAAAUUUGGUUUUAGGGUGGAUGUUCAUCAAGCAAUAACACUCAAGCCAUUGUCUUUCUUUCUUUCUAAUGAGGCUAACAAAGCAGACCCACUUUACUUUCUUUUUUUUUUCUUCUUCAUGCUCACGUCUGCAGCAACGCCCCCUCCCCUUCCUAUGCACUGAGUCACUUUCACAACUUUCAUUACUUCUCUGAGGGCAGCCUGAGCUAGCUGGCAGGGGAGAUGGGUGUAUAUCUCCUAGCUAUAACCCGUAGUCCCCAGAGGGUGGAGGUCAAUGAGAUUAACCUAUAGCUCCUUUUUCCGCCCUUCAUUACACACUCCAAAUUACACCCACUUACAGACGAGGAAAAGGAAGACGGAAUCAUAUAUGGGCUGAUAUCUAUUUAAAAUCUAAUCCCUUUGGGUGAAUUGCUCAGCCUUUCCAUUUCUCUUAUGUUCCUGCCUAUUGCCCCCAGGCUCCAUUGUGCCGUGGUGCGCUGCUGUGCCGUUCAGGAAGGUGCUAUAACCUCGCCCUUGUUCGUAUUAACUUUAGUUUCAUCUGCACUAACAGAGGAGACACUUAAGAUUAUAACUCCCUCUUUUCUGUUGUUAUUCCUCCGUUAAACAUUAUUGACUAAUGGCCUAUUGCUCUGUUGCCACAAAGCUAAGAGCUUGGUUAUUUAGAGUAGAUUCUUUCGGUUGUACCUUGCUGUACAUCAUCUGCUUCUAAAAGAGAGAUGUUCAGGAUUUUCUUUUCUUGUAAAUCAAUUCACCAUGCCAUGUUUCUUAACCAAAAUAGUUAUAAAUUUAUGGACUGAAACAGAAAUAAUGUGGAUUUAUGACGGCUUGUGUUUUCUUUCCUACAAAAGAGGUUUGAUUACGGAGAACACAGCAUUCGUUCCUAAAUAGGCAACCGCACAGAGAUUUUAUUACUGCAACCUAGUAUACCGUGCAGUACCUCCAAAUCUCACUGCCUUGCACCACACUAUUUGUUCUUCUGUUAAACUCCAGCAUGAUGCUUUAAAGGUCCCAUGGAUCAGAUUUCAUGUUUUUUUAGUUUUUGGCUCAGCGUAAGAAUAAUGUUCUUUGUGAUGUUUCACAAAUACAUAUACAUUGGUCAGAAAAUAAGGUAAACACAUGCGCUAUAAACAAUGUCUGGCAAACAGGGCUUUGAUAUGCACAUUUUUGUGUUUGUGUGACGACUAACAAAAGCUUGGACCAAAUCAUCUGUUCCCAAACUACAGGUGCACCGGUCAACCAAACUGCAAGUAUGUCAUAUGUCAUGAGCAGCGGUCUGGAAAAUGACAGCGUAUACAAAACACAGGAAAACUGCUUAGAUAAAGAGGAAGUUGAAAGGAACCAACAUGGGUAUGACAGAUGUACAGUAUAUAUAUACAGGGGAUGGGGAACUGACUGCUAGUUGGUGCGCAGACUUCCACAAUCCACAACGAUGAUUCACUUACUUCAAAGAGCUUACGUGUUUACAUUAAUUUGUACACCCCCUGUUGUUUAGUUAAAAGGCUAUUCAUCAAGUUAUUUCAGAGAAUUCGCAGACAGAACAACUGCAAUGCUGCCCCCCGAUUGGCUGAAGUCACCAGCUCGUCUGAUUAAAAGGAAGCAAACCUGCUGACUGCAAGAUUUACAGAUCAAAUGCUACAAUGUAUCUUGAUUCUGUGUGGGGGGGGGGGGGGGCAAUCAGAAGCCCCCACUGUGAUGAGUUUACCUUGAAACUGAAAAACUCAAGGGGCCUUGAAAAUGCACAGGCAGUUUGAAAUAGGAUUUAUUAAAAAACAAUACGUUUUGGAGUAAAAUAUAUUAGUUAUUAAGAUCAAACGACAAUGUAUAGAGAAAGGUGCCGGUCUUAGUGAUGAGCAGACAUAUCUGACUGCUCUACAGAUGGUUUUAGUGUCUUUUAACGUAUCGUUUCAGUUUUCCUGCUUCGUUGCCACACCUCUACCAGGUGCUACGCCAGUUACUUAAAACAUGAAACAGGAAAUGUUCGCAAAUAGUUACAAACUAAUACGCCAGACAUUUCCCCCGGGAAUUGGUGGAGACCAAAUGAAAUGUAAAUGGUGUAGGAGCCAAAUUUGUAGUGUGUUGUUUGUUGCAUUUGCAUGUUCGGUUAAUUAGAAGCGUGUGCGUAAUUUCACUGUUUGCUUGCGUAUUGAAAUACAUGCGGGUUGCAGACUGACGUCACACAGUUGUACGUUGUCCGGACAGUUUUUGGACCGGGUUAAUUUGAUAAUGUUAUGAAAAAUAUUAUUCCGUGGAAUGCCGAUACUCAUAGGAAGAAAGGAAACUGUAAUUCAAGAACUUUGGAUGAAUAAAAGACAUGCUUGCUUCACUAACGGAACAGAGUCAGAGUCGGGAGCUAUUUGUAUACGAACAGAAACACGCCUCAACUUAAUGUUUACGCUCUGCUUUCACUACUUUCGGAACCUAACGUUACAAAGGGUAUAGUUGAUAUAAAUUGCAUUCAUUAUGUAAACUUAAAUAUGACUCCAAAUGAAUGUAUAUGUUGCUCUGUUUUUAUAUAUUUAUAUUAGGACACACACAAUGUAGCUAUAACAUACAUGGCAUGGCAUGUCAUCCUAAUAUAAUAAUGACCCUGAUGGGCCGCCUAAGGCUUCUCUGCCUGUCUAAACAGAAUCACAAAGUUUAGCUAUUUUAUCAUUUACUUUUUCUUUACAAAUAUAUUACAUGUAUAAUAGGCAUAAGCAAUAAGCAUUUUCUCAUUGCACAUCUCUUGUCCUCGUCUGUUGGUCUGCUUCCAGUGCAGCUUGUUUUAAAGAGAGCUUUUAUCCAAUCAGAUUCAGCCCCUGUGUUUACAUGUAAGAAAAGCGAGAGGUCCUCUAGUGCAGUGUUCCCCAGCCAGUACCGGUCCGUGGGCAAUUUUGUACCGGGCUGCACAGAAAGAAUAAGCGUGAGCGUGCUCCCACCAAGAUCGCUGCUCUAAGGAGACUUACACAUUAAAGUAUACAGGGACAAUAUUGUUGAUUGUCAUAGUCUUCAACCAAUCAGAUCUUUAGUUUGACAUGUUGGGCCUAUUUUUUGAUGUGCCGAUAAUACAGAUGUAGCCUCAUCACGUGCGCUCUCAUUGGUCGGUGGGCCAGCGUGACUUCUGUCAAACAGAAAGCCACCUAGCAGAUCUUCGUAUUUGCAGUAGCGUAUUUAUUGGACUAUUGUGUUGUUUUUAUUAUAUAGUUGAUAUUGUUCGCUCUGAUCUAAAUAAUAUUUGAAUGGCCUGUGCUCUUUGAACUUUCAGAAGUUCUGAUCAAGUUAAAGGCACUCAUCAUGAACGAUCAUAAUAAUGCCACAUACCACUGGAAAGCUUAGAGUCUGGGCUAAAAAUACAAAAAAGUUUGAACAUGCCCCAGACACAAUUCAAUCACAAUUUAUAAAAUAUCAAAUGCAAAUUUUGGAGACUGGAAAACCCAUCAAUUGAAGCUUGAAGUUAACAAAGGAACCGAGACACCGAACAGCAAGAGUAUUCCACUCUGAUUACAGCGAUAUUUAUAACAUUUCUCUCAGACAAACCUUCAAUCAGAAAUGCUCCUUACCUUUACCGUUUUUAACAAAAAAAUGUCGGGGGUUUUCAAAUACUAAACGCUAAGCGGAUUUCUGUGUCUCUUCAUAAGCAAAGAACUUUGGCACUUGGCGUCAGAGCAGAGCAUCAUCCCUCACUCUACACAUUGCUGAUACUUUUACAUCUAAGCACACUCGAAGGUAUUUUUUACUAUGAGACCUCAAAUUGUCCAGACAAAUCCUAUAGUUGCAGAGCUAUGGCCGUUUUAGUGUGUAAAUACAAUUUUGAGCAGAGACCGAGAAAAAAAACCCUUGGCCCUGAAGAGUAGCUUUAAAUGGUAUGUCAAUAAGCAUUUCCGGCCAUAAAUGUGUAUGAACAACAGACAAUUUGGAUGGGUACUAUACAAGCUUGCCUGUGCCUAAAUCUAGUAGUUUAUAUAAUGUUAGGCCCUUAUAUAUUCUGAUUGUUUAGGGACCGUAUCAAGUUUUCACACUCAGCAGCUUGUCCUCCUUGCCCCCCCCCCCCCCCUCCCCUUCGGGCUCCAUGCUGUUUGGGGCCACUCGCCUUCAAGCUGCAUCCACUUGUAGUGUAUAAUAGACAGAGGCUUCCACCAACAGCGUGCACAUUAAUCAUCAUUAGACGUACAGUUCAGAGAUCGCCCCAAAUCGGAAGCCACCGUAAAACAAUAGGAAACCGUGUUCAGUAUUAUCUUAAAAUUAGCGAAGAUGAGCAAAUUUGUUUGUCGGUGGGCACCUCCGAGGUCUACUAACCGGGGGAUGGUUUGACUGAUAGAGCGUCAUUUUGGUGGGUGUGACGGAGUAGGCAGCAACCAGGGCCCAUGUAACUUCCUGGUUAUGAAUAGCCGCUGUGGAAAGGUCAACGUCAUGACAACCCUGUGAUGGAUGUCACCGACGUCCAAUUAAAUCCUUCUAAAAAAAGACGCCUCUAGUGUGUGCUUAUUAAAUAUAAAACAGCUACAUCAAGAGUCUGAGGGCCCGCUUUCUCUGUGCUUAAUGCCGACUAGGACAACCAAGAGCAUUUUUUAGUCCUCAAUUAUUCAUGUUUUUGAUGAGGGGGGUCAAUAAGGGAAAGAGCACUCAGUAUGAAUGUUUGGAGCUAUGCGCAAAGGUCACAACACAAAAACAGACACACAAAUACACAUCUUUUCAGACGUUUCUAACUCUUUUCUCUCUGGAUAAACAGAGCAGAGCAAAGAACAGCACUCCCGUGCUUUGAGGAAUGCAAAUAUUUGUCGCCAGGUUGUUGAAGCUUUCCUUUUUUUCUGUUUUGUACGCGUCUCUUUUUCUCACCCCCCCCCUAACUAAACGCACACACAGGCUGCUUUGAGGAAACUGGGACAGACAGGCAACCCAUGAAUAAGAGGAUGCACGUUUUUUAUUUGUGUAUUAUGUGGCCCUUUGAAAACCUCCAGCACAUCCACGUGUGCACGCACAAGUGCACGUAGACACACAUGGGCCAGUGCUCAAAUUCAGCCACCCAGCCUCAGUUUCCUUCCUCGAGUUCAGCAGUAAAAGUCCUCUCACUUUUAAGUCUACCUUUGGUUGAACUUAUGCUUUUCUUUUUUUUCCCCAUGUCUUGUGUAUCCACUCUGAAAUUAUAGAUGGGGAUAAUAAUAAUAAUGUCAUUUUGUACCGGAAUCUUAGUCAUUACCUGCAGUAAAGUGCUUCUAAUUGAUACCACCAGAGAGAUAAUGAUUACAAUGCCCUCCAGGAACAUAUUAUUGCAAUAUUAACCUUUGUAUAUACUUUUAUGCAGAAGACUCUGGCACAUUAAAGGAUCUCUAAAUCUUACUUGUGCGGUGUAAUGCCAUUACAAAAGAAUGGAUACUCGGAGGUGUGCCCUUUUCCUGAUUAAGUGUGUCCAGGGGUUUGCAGCCAUCUCCAGGAAAUGGAUGACAUGGAGGUGCAAUUCUCUGUGUCUCUCUCUUCUCUUACUGUCUAAAGCUUUCUUUCCUAUCCAUGCUACCCUUCAUGGCCGUGCACUACAGAUAACCUUUCUUUGUUCCUGCGCAUGCGGGCAAAAACGUUUAAGUGUUUUUUAUCUGUUUCGUAUGAAAAAGUGGCUGCAGUCUGUGAUAUCAAUCUUUGUAUCAGUGUGCUCGUUUAUGUGCGCAUCCCCAACAUUUGACCGACACACUGCACAGCUGCUGUGCCACACUCAGUUGGGCACCACACACCCACCACCCCCUCAAAAACAGCAUCCAAACCAGAGGCUAUAUUUGGACACAAUGCCUUCACCAGGAUAAUUAGCCAACAAGCCAUGAUCUCUAAACAUGAACCACACUGCAACAACAUUCAACUCUUAUUAAUGCCGCACCAUGAGGCACUGCAUGUAUGUGAAAUACAGCAAGUGUAUCUUCUGUGUAAUUUCUUAGUAUGCUCUGAUAUCUUAGAAAAUCAAAAAGGGCAACAACAGCAGCAGCGAGCUCAUUUGAAGUGUAAAAAAAGAAAAGAAAGAGGGACCUUUGCUUAAGACAUCUCGUUGCAGCAGGGACCACAGUGCUACUGACAGAGGGCAAAUGAAAAUAAAUUAAUUCACUGAGCACUGUUGUGUGUCUGUGAGUGUGUGUGUGUGUGUGUGUGUGUGUGCGGUUGUGUGUUUGUGAAUCUGCGUGUCUAACCCGUGACACAGUUUAAAACGGCUUCUUAAGACCUGGUGACACAAGACAGGAAAUCGGGAUCUCUGAAUACUCUGGAAGCCUCUUGGCUUGGCCUCGCACAUGCCAGGCCCUUAAAGCCCUGCCCGCCCUCCUUGCAGUGGAAGGCGUCAGCCUCUAGUGGGCACUGUACCGAGUACAGGUCUAACCUUGGUAGGUUUACAGUGAUGUAGUCCUGUUGGAGGAGUCACCUUAGAUAUAUGUUGUGUCUUUCAAAUAUGAAACCAUGAUAUUGUCAAGUGGUAAAUAACCCCCUGGAUGGUCCACUAUAUUUAAGAAAAUCCAUUUUCCAAUUCAAAACUUUGAGAAAACCAUAGUAUUCAUAACUUGAAAAGUGACUAAAUUGCUGUGUUUGGAUAAUGUGACUGAAAAUGCCUGUUGUCCAGCUAUUGAAGUAACAAAAUGUACUUUUACUCUUGUUACUGUAACAAGGUCUAUUUUUCGGAUCCUUUUUUUAGUAAUUUUUUUAUCAUAUAAUUUUCAUUGUCCCAUCCUUUCUGGUGCUGUCAAAUCUUUGACAGUGUAAAAUUAAACUAAGGAUGGUAUAAAAUUCACAGGGAGCUCCAUACUAUUAAAUGUUCUGGUUAACGUUAGCAUUCAUGUAUCUCUGCAAAUGUUUGGAAAGGAAAUUAAUUGCUCAUUCAAUGCACCACCAGACUAGCACGUCGAGUAACCCAAAUCUACCGUUGCAGGGCGCUCUUUGAGAUCAAAAUGUUUGAAAACAGUGUUUUCGUGUGGUAGCACGAUUAUUUAAUGGAUUGGUAAUAUUUUUCAAAGAGAAUGUGCCAUGGAGCAGAUUUUGCAGGACUCUGCAGUGCACAAGGCAAAAUAUGCAGGUUUAGACAGGUGAGAGCAACAACCUACUCACUGAUGGAUGUGCUCUCUGAAGUGAACAGGUACUGUGUGCCCUACGGUGUUGAAAAACUGCGCAACAUGUGUCUUCGGGCUACAACCAUCUAGUCUUUUGUAAUGUCCGUACCUCACUGUGUGAUUUGCCUUGGGUUUUUAUUCAACCAUUGAAUCUGCAAGAAGUGACUAACUAAUUGAUACUGUGUUUUAUUAUGGUUUUUCUGUCUCACUGUUCUCUUUCUCUGGUUAAAUAGACUAUAAUGAGGAGGUUAUUCUGUAUUUAUAAUAUAUAUAAACUUUUGUAUAAACUGGCACUCUCUGUCCGCUGGUGAGAGCGUGCUCACCGGUGUCUGUGCGCACGUGUCUGUGUGUGGCUUUGGGUGAGCGGGGAACCAAUCAUCGGUUCCUAUAUUGUUUACAGAAUCUCUUUCACGUUUAUUUGUAGAAUGUAAAAUAAAAUGCUUUUGCCAAAAUAUCCCCAUUUUAACUUUGUCUCUGUUGCGUUUCCCAAACGGCAUUUGCAUUUUUAGAUCUCUUCAAGAAUUGAAUACAUCAUGUACCCUUUUGCCUCACUCUAAAAAUUGAAAUGUAGCGCAAUAACUUUUGCUCAGUACAUUUUAACUGAGCUUUAACUACUUUUUACUUUUACCUACCUAGUACAAGAGUGCUUUUUCCAUUGCUCGAGUAAAACAACUUCAAUCACCAUGAAAUAUUGUAGCACUCUUUACUUCCCUGCUGUUAGAACAUUUCUUCCAUUGCCUCAUCAUGUCCAAUUAAAGAUUGUUAAAUAAUCAGUUUUAGUGAGACACAACCUUGAAACAGGUUAUGGAUCCCUGACCUGCUGCGGGUCCAGUCGUGGUCUCGGGGCAUUCGCCUGAAGAUCUUGACUAUGUACACAACACACUGACUUUUGACCCAUUGCUCCCUUUUUAGCAUCAGAAUACUGAGCCACUGUGCCAAGCCAGUGACAUGGUUGAGGGUACAACAGCGGUAUUUAUUGUGUCGGUGGUAGUGCCAGUUGCAUUUGUCCUGCAGUGUUCGCGCUGUGCCAUACGUCCUCACCAGCUUCUGUUUCUUAUUUCCAAGGCUAGAAGAUGGCCUGGAAAGAUGGAUAGUUGGCCAGGAUUUUUUGGGGGGUUUAGUAUUCAUAGUUGUAACACAAGGCCCACUUGUCCUUGACUGCUUGUUACAAAUAACCCACAUAAUUCCCUCAGGCUCAGAGAUAAUUCACUGAUAAUUUAAGGCACUUGUACUGUGUAGCAUUUCUCUCCUAACACACAAGGAAAUCAGUGCAUUCCUCAGUUGUUCUCGCAUUGUUUCCUUGCUGCUCCUGAGCUGACACUAACCUGUAAAGCAUAUUUUUUCUUCUGGGUAACGAGAGACUGUAGCGUAAGUGUAGACAGGGGUUAGCGUGACUGAGCCCUUUUGUGGCAUGGCAGCACCUUGCACUUUAUCCGCCGCUUAGCUUCCCUUUCUCACUGGAGAGGUGCAUUAUCGGCUGAUUUAAGGAAGUGCUGCUGAAUCAGGUCAAGGAGGUGCUGGCAAUUGUUGGUGAGGUAAAAAAAGGGCCUGUAGUGCCAAUGCUCACUGGCAAGGUCUAAAAAAAAGAAAAGAAAAAAGAUUAAAUUUAGUCUGACACUGAAACCGUUUAAUACCAAUAAUUAGACCAUGUAUGAAUGUAGCAAUGAACAUUCUUACUUAAUGCAAUUUCACAGGACCUAUUCUAUGGUGCAUUUUUUUACUGGGCCACUAUAAAAACAUAGAUAUUAAUGAUAGUCUUCCCACCAGGGAGUCAAUGUAAUCCUACAGAGCAUUAGAGAAAAGGAAACAAGAAGGAGGAACGGACAGGAAAGGAAUUGGAGAGGCAAAGGAAAGGAAAGGAGGAGAGAGUAGGCGAUCAUGGGCAAACACAAGGGGAGAGGAGUAAUCACGUGUGUCCGGCGGAGGUCACCACUGGUCUGCAGGUUCUAAUUAUGUGCUAAUAGCCACUGAGGAGGUCAUUUGGAGCCAUUAGCCAGUGCCUGUAGAUAGUUAACGGCCCAGAGCAUAACCCAGCCUCCUUAAUGUUCCCCGCGAGGCCGUUAGCACUCCGUCACCAGCCAGCUAGCUGCCUCGUUACUGCGAUUAGAAACCUAUUGAUAGGUAAUAGUAAAAUAUGAUAGCACACUAUCCGAAAAAUAUGGACUCUGGUGGAAAGGUGAGAGGACAGGAGACAGUAAGAGCACCUGCCCGAGGGGGGAAAGGUAGACUGAGGGGAACAACUGACUGAUUAACCAAACAAUAAAAGUUUAGCUUAAUCUGGAAGUGAUUAGAACGUUCCAACGCUUUCCCAUGGGUUUGUUCAAUGCAGUGGGGGGUGAGUCCUUAAGGAGAUGAAAUAUGACUUCAUACCAUUGGGGGCUAGGGUUAAGGGGUUUGGGUGCUGUCCUGAUAGCUAAAUAACUAGACAGUGACUUUUCAAAAUAAGGCCUACAAUUUACGCUCGUUAGAUGCAUACAAUAACUUUUCAAAAUAAACUUCCACCCUAGUCUUACUUAGUUACAAAGUUUACAUGUGCAACAAAACAACUUUUAUUUUGUGUUAACUUUGGCGGCCCUUGAGGACAAAGCGGGAGUGUGUCCGAGCACCAGAUUCCCCUUCGCAAACCUAAAACUUUAGUGUAUGAGGGUCCCCGUUGCUCCGGUUUGCCCUUGCCUCCAGUCCGUCCGACGGGCUGACGAUAUGUACCCGGGUCUCCAGCAGCCCUAACUACACCCACUUUUGAGACAAGAAGUGUAAACCAUUUUAAACCAUUGAUGGAGCUUGUGAUGCUUCAUCUUUUGUUGCAGAGCGUCUUUGGCAGAGUUCAACCUGGAGUUAGCAAAUAGUGAAUGUCACACGGAAAGGGCAGGUCUGUCGAUAUCAGAUGCUGGAACCAAACGUCAGCAUUUGAUGAGGUAGGUGUGAAUGGGAGUUGCUGAGCUGAAAAUAAGAUUUCCCCUCAAAACAUGUAUACCCUGCAUUUUCUGAUAAAUGCAAAAGGAUGUUUAACAGCACCAUGAUUGCAUAACUAUCUAAAGAAACACAUGCAUGAGAUGAAGACAACGUUUCUUUGCUCUUAGUCACAGAUUGAAAAAGAAAUUAAAUCAGAACCAAAACAAGGGACAGACAUACCAUGCAGAUCGUUGUUCUUAAUCAAUUAGAGUCAGAUGUUUUCACUUAGACAUAUUUCUGCUCUGGGCAGCCGUUGAUUCAUAUGAUUUAAAUUAAAGACCUGCUGGUUUAUAAGUCAAAUGCAGUAUACUUCCUGCUCUCCCACAUCCAUCAGUCCCAGACCAGUCUGAACUUGAGCAUACACUCUGUCCAGGCAAAUAAAGAGAAAUACAGUGCUUCCUGAAGAAUCACAGAUUUGUCUGUGAUGAAAUCUCCAGGCCGGGCUGUAAAUAUUUGCCUGUGCUGUAUUUGUGUGAGCGUUUCAUUAACGAUCCGAGCUGACAAACAUGCACACCCAUUGACCCCAGUCAUCGAGGGAGGGCCCGAGACAGUAGUGUGUAUUUGUUGAAAACGUAAACGCCUCACAUGAGGGAUUGAUGUCACCGACGGAGGAGACGAGUGCAGUGGAAAUUAAUCUGGUGUGCUAAAUGUUUUCCAUAGCCAAAAGCUCCUGGCUCUUAUUUGAGGGCCCUGUCACGACUUGAAAGUGUAAUUGAUACAAAUUCUAAAGUUUAAUUUUUAAAGUUUACAGUCACAGAGGGUUCAGCGCUCCGGAUUGUUUAAAAUUGCGCUCGCUUCCAUUCGGUUAAAGCAGGAUAGUCUGAAAAAAAAUGUGUUCAUCAAAGGGUUGCUACAAAUUAGACUUUGAGAAACUCAAUUUGAAGGGAAAAGAAAAGCAUUUAUUUCUUUUCCUCUGGGGGGGAAGCCAGAGUCCCUGCUGUGUUUGCAUUUAAAUAUAAACCAGGCAUAAUAUCUGACUUUAAUGGCACAUGCAGUCAUACAGGGCACAAACACAGAGGCACGCGCUGCACAUGCCAUAUGCAUAUACACCACCCCCACUCCCACCCCAACUUCAUAAUUUAGUAGUUCCAUCUAAACUGGCACAGACAACAGCGUGAAACAGCUCUUAGAUUGUUGUGUCUACUCUCUAAUAGUUGAAAUUAGCAAUAAGGCCUCUGGAGAUGUCGGAGCACAGGCGGGCAUGUUGUAAAUCUGGGUCCAAUAAGGGGCCGAGGGGGUGGUGGUGGGAGGGGGUGGGGCAGAAAGUCAGAGGGAGAUGGCCAAAGCAGUGGAAUAACAUCUUAAUCCAUCUGAGAAGUGAACAGUGGCCGGUCUGUUUUUUUGGAGCACGCUGUCUUGGAUGACUCCCAAGCAGAGGGGCAGGGAGCAGAGCCAUCUUCAGCUGCUAGUCACUAACAUGGCAGUAAUAAGGCAGUGAUGACCCUCCCAGGACUGGCGGCCAACACUCCCCCUCCCUACCAUCCCUUCAGCACCCCCACCCACCCACACACACACACAGGGCCGUGCUCUUGAACAGAUAUGCAGUCCAGCACCGGAUAUCUCUUGAUAUAUCAUCAUCACUGCCCGUGCAUUCAUUCCAUGAAACGCUUAAGCACCCAUGUAAAAAUGUAAAUGGCACAGACCAAAAUUUAACCACUAAAGCUACAUGAAAAUGUGUGACAUUAAUUUACUCACUGAAGGAUAAUCAAUGAGAGCAAAGAACUUGACUGAAACAGCCCUCAGGGCUCACAGAAACCAAUGCCAUCCCACGUUGCACUGUCAGACCUUUUUCCUGUCCGCUUUUACGGUGUCAUCCGAAUCAUCAAUGUGCUGUCACGCCGAGAGGACUGAAGGAUAUGGGCUGGGAAGUUUUCGGGCACAUGUCUGAAAACUCUCAACACAUAAAUAUUGUUCAUUCGUAUGAAACUGUUUCGGUAAUUUUAAUGCCCAGAGGUGGGUUCAGCCCCUUGUUAGUGAUCAUUAGAAAAGGACCACGGUUUUAUCUUUUUUUUAAAUCAUUAUCUUCACAGAAUGCAUUCAUAGUUGCUUUUAUCACCCUUAAAGAUCCUCGUGUAGUUUCAGACUCUGCACACAAUUAAUUCAAGCCACUGAAAUCCCUGUCAGCCGCCACAAUGUGGCUGGCAAACACUUUUGCGUGGCUACUUACACAUAUAUGGUGGCGUGCUGAGGGUACCAACCCUCGCUGCUAUGCAUUGUUAGAAAUUUGCAUGCUUAAGUCCAUAUGGCAACUUCCUUUUGACCUGCUUUCCCAUCCCGGAUGCAUUGUCAGGGCUGUCAGCCGAUAAAGAAUCACUUGACUUGCUAUAACAAGUUCAAAAGGAGCUGAUGACGCGCUGUUGAUCCAUGGAGAAUCGGCAAAAGGAACACCCCUACUGCUCACUGCUAUCACUCCCAUAGAGAUAGCCAUAUUAUUGAUGGGGGAACAGUUAUGCUAAUUCCUUUAGGGAAGGAAACUCCUUUUUUGUAUUUUGGAAAAUGCUCAAAAAAUAAAGAGAAGGAAAAGAAAAAGAAAAAAAGUGAAUUUCAUACGCAUCAAGCUUAAUUCCAUACAACCAUUUAAAGGAGCAGCAUGAGAAUCAGAUUUUCAUAGCGCAUAAUGAAUGCAGUUUAUUUUAAAGAGGAAGAUGUGUUU
ensembl:lncRNA